rnacentral:rRNA from 1 species
UAAUACGUAGGUGGCAAGCGUUGUCCGGAUUUAUUGGGCGUAAAGCGAGCGCAGGCGGUUCCUUAAGUCUGAUGUGAAAGCCCACGGCUCAACCGUGGAAGGUCAUUGGAAACUGGGGAACUUGAGUGCAGAAGAGGAGAGUGGAAUUCCAUGUGUAGCGGUGAAAUGCGUAGAUAUAUGGAGGAACACCAGUGGCGAAGGCGACUCUCUGGUCUGUAACUGACGCUGAGGCUCGAAAGCGUGGGGAGCAAACAGG